UUUUCCAUUACACCUUACGAAACGGGCACGUUUCGUCUCAUCUCUCUUGUUGCAAUUCUGCCUCUCCUGAUACGACCGGUUAUCUAUGUCUUGUCACGUUGGAUGGGAUGCGAAGAACCUAAAAAUGAAACAAACAAUCCAUGCCAUAUUUGCCAGCACUGUGAGGAGUACGCCAAGGCUAGGAGUAGUACUCUUCCCCCGAUCGAGUAAUUAAUUAGCAUGGCCUUUUAUCUUAUGCCUUGUUCGAUCGCCGGUUUCCUCAUCAGAUUCUCCUCAAGCCUUGUAAGUGGUUCGACAAGGGUUAAGCUUCAAUUUGGCCUUCCUUUUUUUUCUCUUCUUCUACAUCUAGUUAAUGUUUUUCUUUUGAUUUGGUUUUUAGUGAUGUUUGGGUCCUCGUACCUGUUUUUUCCACUGGUGUAUUUCACUAUUAUAUAUGUAUUGUUUCUUGAUAAUUUCAGCUCAGGUUCUCCAAUAAGGUGGUAGCCUUAUAUGUAAUGUGAUGUAAAUUAGUGAUCAUUAAUUAUGAAUCAUGUAUUUUUAUUAAAGCUAUCAACU